rnacentral:misc_RNA from 1 species
AAGGAUCAUUAGUGAAUUUGUAGGGCCUGCCAUACGGAUGCGCAAGCGUCUCUGGCGCCCAACCCACUAUACAUCCACAAACCCGUGUGCACUUGUGUUGCUUUGGCCUGUAUGGGCGAGCGCACGCAUUCAAACAAACUCGUAUGGUUGUAUGUACGUUGUAAACGUUGGACCGUCACUGGCCAACAAACUUUAUACAACUUUCGACAACGGAUCUCUUGGUUCUCCCAUCGAUGAAGAACGCAGCGAAACGCGAUAGGUAAUGUGAAUUGCAGAAUUCCGUGAAUCAUCGAAUCUUUGAACGCACCUUGCGCUCCAUGGUAUUCCGUGGAGCAUGCCUGUUUGAGUGCCGCGAAUUCUCCCACCCCAAACGGUUGCCGAAAGGUACUGUGCGGCGGAGGGGUUGGAUGGGUGCUACUGCCUGUGGUGGGGAAACUACAACAGGCUCGCCCGAAAUGCAUUAGCGCCUCAGGACACAUUCGCUACUGCUCUACAAAAGGAAGAGCAGCGAAGCGUAUGGGGGGGAAAACCACCACCGGUUAUUCCAAACCUCGCCUGACUGUUUUUGCGCGCAUGGCAUGAUACGUCAUUUGCUGUGUUGCGUAGGUUGGUGCGUGGGACUGUGUGAGUGCCUCUAGAGCUUUGAGAAGUGUGUUUCGUGUGCUACGAACUGAAAAAGUACAUUCCUUUUUUUCAAUUCUGGUCUCAAAUCAGGUAGGAUCACCCGCUGAACUUAA